UGGUAUAAGUUAUGGUGCCGAAGACCAACGAGACCCCUGGGUGUUUUCCCGACAUAAUGAAGAAAAUCCCAUGUGGCUGUCAACAGAGUUUACACCACUAGAAACCUGAUUAGUUGGUGAACAAAAAACAAAACCGCAGGACUAAAAAGUUAUCUUCGAAGAGGUAACUUUUAUCUAGGGAAGAGUCAUACGCUAUAACUCCCAAACGCUGAAUUUGUGAACCGCAUUAAAGAACUUUUAACUAUGUGGAACGUACUGGACGAACAGUUUUUAAUGUGUAAAAAAAAUUCCACCGGUCCAGCUAUGUGGUUUUUACUGCGAGCACUUCGCUUUUCCACAUUAAGCAAGCGGAUUCUUUUUCCCCCACGGUCUUUUAUCCGCACUGAUCACACCAAUCAUCAGUGAGCUGGACCUCCUGUUUUAACAGGUUUUUAUUAUGACAAAGAGAGAAGAUGACCCACCCCCUCUUCUCACGAUAUCGAUUCUUUAAGUUGACAACUAAAGUUGGACCAGAAAAAAACAAAUACAUCUAUUCAUGACCGGUGCACAUGUUAUAACUGCCAACAUAUGCGGAAUCAGGUCACAAAGCCAAUUAAGUAUUAUUAAUCAAAGCCAAUGAACAACGGAACUGUUAUAGUGACUGAUUUACAUUUCAUGAUCAGACCAGACUCCAAAGGAUUAGCAAUUAGCUAAACUAUAAAGACUUCAUCCCUAGGAUAUCAGUUAGCAAUGGCGCACUGACUGGGUUAUCUCUUUAAUCCUUGUCAUAGGGGCUGUUCGAAAAAAUCCUAUGACCAGGCAUGCAACAGAUUUAGAAAUAAAUGAAUGUAUAAAAAAUUGGCUGCGUUAUGCUCCAGAAAGAAUAAAAAGGG